rnacentral:rRNA from 1 species
ACGUACUGUGCGAACGUUAUUCGGAAUCACUGGGCUUAAAGGGUACGUAGGCGGUUUGGCAAGUCAGGUGUGAAAUGCCACAGCUCAACUGUGGCACUGCGCUUGAAACUGCCAGGCUAGAGUAUUCCAGGGGUGUGCGGAACUGCCAGUGGAGCGGUGAAAUGCGUUGAUAUUGGCAGGAACACCGGAGGCGAAGGCGGCACACUGGGGGAUAACUGACGCUGAGGUACGAAAGCCAGGGUAGCGAACGGG